UGGAGCCAGAUGUCUUAAAAGAGAUGAUGUGCUUCAUCUACACAGGCAAGGCCCCCAACCUGGACAAGAUGGCUGUGACCUGCUGGCUGCAGCUGACAAGUAUACGCUCCAGAGAGGCUGAAGGUGAUGUGUGAGGACGUUCCAAGCACCAGGCACAGAGAUCCUCCUCCUCGCCGACCAAGACGCUCGCCACGAGGUUAAUCAACAUAUGUACCUACUGACGCUGAUCAUGGGGGACCCACACCUUCACUCCUCAGCGUGACUCCACUCACAAACAUCUCAGCAGCCCGCCCAGAAUACCUGACACUCGUC